rnacentral:rRNA from 1 species
UACAGAGGUCUCAAGCGUUGUUCGGAUUCAUUGGGCGUAAAGGGUGCGUAGGCGGCGCGGUAAGUCGGGUGUGAAAUUUCGAGGCUUAACUUCGAAACUGCAUUCGAUACUGCCGUGCUUGAGGACUGGAGAGGAGACUGGAAUUUACGGUGUAGCGGUGAAAUGCGUAGAUAUCGGGAGGAACACCAGUGGCGAAGGCGGUUGCCUGGGGCUGUGCUGACGCUGAUGCGCGAAAGCGUGGGGAGCGAUCCGG